GGGGCUGUGGUGUAGCUUGGUUAUCAUCCCAGCCUUGGGAGCUGGAGACCCCGGUUCAAAUCCGGGCAGCCCCA
rnacentral:tRNA from 1 species